rnacentral:rRNA from 1 species
UACGUAGGAGACGAGCGUUGUCCGGAGUUACUGGGCGUAAAGGGUGCGCAGGUGGCCUCGCGCGUGGGGGGUGAAAUCGCCCGGCUUAACUGGGCGGGGGCCUUCCAGACGGCGGGGGCUUGAGCAACGGAGGGGGGGCGUGGAAUUCCGGGUGGAGCGGUGAAAUGCGUAGAGAUCCGGGAGGAACACCGGGUGGCGAAGGCGGGUCUCUGGGCCAUAACUGACGCUGAGGAGCGAAAGCGUGGGGAGCGAACAGG